rnacentral:lncRNA from 1 species
GUUCAGGUGGCCUAAAGAUCCGAAUAAAUAGGGAUUCUCUAAAUAGAAUUUAGCGCGGUGGUGAGCAGGGUGUUACAUCCCCCCAACCUUAAAAAAUUUGGUCCAUCAAAUUUGUCUAAAAAAGGUUCAAAAUUUUUUUCUUCAUCUCGUUUCCCAACUUUUACGUCGCCUCUUCUGGAGUAUGGUGCUACCAUUGCACCUUCACCAUGGAG